GAUGAACGCUGGCGGCGUGCCUAAUACAUGCAAGUCCAGCGAACGGACGAGAAGCUUGCUUCUCUGAUGUUAGCGGCGGACGGGUGAGUAACACGUGGAUAACCUACCUAUAAGACUGGGAUAACUUCGGGAAACCGGAGCUAAUACCGGAUAAUAUUUUGAACCGCAUGGUUCAAAAGUGAAAGACGGUCUUGCUGUCACUUAUAGAUGGAUCCGCGCUGCAUUAGCUAGUUGGUAAGGUAACGGCUUACCAAGGCAACGAUGCAUAGCCGACCUGAGAGGGUGAUCGGCCACACUGGAACUGAGACACGGUCCAGACUCCUACGGGAGGCAGCAGUAGGGAAUCUUCCGCAAUGGGCGAAAGCCUGACGGAGCAACGCCGCGUGAGUGAAGAAGGUCUUCGGAUCGUAAAACUCUGUUAUUAGGGAAGAACAUAUGUGUAAGUAACUGUGCACAUCUUGACGGUACCUAAUCAGAAAGCCACGGCUAACUACGUG
rnacentral:rRNA from 1 species